rnacentral:sRNA from 1 species
UGUAUUCCUUAUCUGUUAUCUAUUUUUUAAUGUUUAUGUGGAGCCUAUCUUCCUGCUAUUUUACCAAAAAAUAACCGGAAGAUAGGCCCUGCUGUUGUUGCCGCUAUAACUCUCAAA